GGUACCUGGUUCCUGAAGUUAUAAUCCACAACCAGUGUGUGUGCACCUCAGCUCUCUGGACAGUGCAUGGGAUGAAUUGAGUGCCUCUGAAAGAGAUGCUAAAUAUCCAACCCACUCAGCAGAGCACUACCUAGAACUAGGCAGCAGGAAAUAAUGAGUACAAGGGUAAGCCUUUCAUUCAGUUCUUCUCUGCGUCCCCACAUGCUUCACUCAGUAAAAGCACAGAAAGGGGCAUUUGUGUCCUUGAGAUCUACAGCUGGAGCAUUCUUCUAAAUACAGCUUGCUGGUUCGUGCGUCUGCAUGGGCAUUAUAAGUUUUCAUCUGCCACGUCUUUGGUGUUAUUGAAAACAGAGAGUCUGAUCUUCAACGCCCUCGUACAGCCCUCACACAGACGACAUGGGUCCUGCAUCUCGAGGCUCCACCUCCUCUACACCCCACCUGGCACCUCCCAGAUGACAAACACAGGUCAUUCCAGCUUGCCUCCAGCCAUCGUCACCACUGAGAACCAGUCCCCACC